UAAAUAGUCAGGCCGGCUUUUGCUGGUCGCAGACUUCUUAGAGGGACUGUCAGCGUCUAGCUGACGGAAGUUUGAGGCAAUAACAGGUCUGUGAUGCCCUUAGAUGUUCUGGGCCGCCCGCG
rnacentral:rRNA from 1 species